rnacentral:rRNA from 1 species
ACCCUUUGAUUUCCGACUCUGUUGCCUCCGGGGCGACCCUGCCUUCGGGCGGGGGCUCCGGGUGGACACUUCAAACUCUUGCGUAACUUUGCAGUCUGAGUAAACUUAAUUAAUAAAUUAAAACUUUUAACAACGGAUCUCUUGGUUCUGGCAUCGAUGAAGAACGCAGCGAAAUGCGAUAAGUAAUGUGAAUUGCAGAAUUCAGUGAAUCAUCGAAUCUUUGAACGCACAUUGCGCCCCCUGGUAUUCCGGGGGGCAUGCCUGUUCGAGCGUCAUUUCACCACUCAAGCCUCGCUUGGUAUUGGGCAACGCGGUCCGCCGCGUGCCUCAAAUCGUCCGGCUGGGUCUUCUGUCCCCUAAGCGUUGUGGAAACUAUUCGCUAAAGGGUGUUCGGGAGGCUACGCCGUAAAACAACCCCAUUUCUAAGGUUGACCUCGGAUCAGGUAGGGAUACCCGCUGAACUUAAGCAUAUCAAUAAGCCGGAGA